rnacentral:SRP_RNA from 1 species
GCUGGGCAUGGUGACCGAUGCCUGUAAUCCCAGCUACUUGGGAGGCUGAGGCAGGAGAAUCACUUGAACCUGGGAGGCAGAGGUUACAGUGAGCGGACAUUGUGCCACUGCACUCCAGCCUGGGUGACAGAGUGAGACUCUGUCUCAA